UACAUGGACUGCCCAGCUCCAGUUUUUCGCUUAAUGUCACUUAGAAUAUCGGCUAUCCCCGUUUGCUCUCUGUUCAACACCGCUCUCUACCUGUCCCUUAACCUCGCGCCUAACAUUUUUUGUUCCAUCGCUCUUUGUG
rnacentral:lncRNA from 1 species